GCGGCGUGCCUAACACAUGCAAGUCGAACGGAACUUCUUCGACAGAAUCUUCGGAAGGAAGUUGAUUAAGUUUAGUGGCGGACGGGUGAGUAACGCGUGAGUAACCUGCCUUUGAGAGGGGAAUAACUUCCCGAAAGGGAUGCUAAUACCGCAUGACGCAUAUUUAUCGCAUGGUAGAUAUGCCAAAGAUUUAUCGCUCAAAGAUGGACUCGCGUCCGAUUAGCCAGUUGGCGGGGUAACGGCCCACCAAAGCGACGAUCGGUAGCCGGACUGAGAGGUUGAACGGCCACAUUGGGACUGAGACACGGCCCAGACUCCUACGGGAGGCAGCAGUGGGGGAUAUUGCGCAAUGGGGGAAACCCUGACGCAGCAACGCCGCGUGAAGGAUGAAGGUUUUCGGAUUGUAAACUUCUUUUAUUUAGGACGAACAAUGACGGUACUAAAUGAAUAAGCUCCGGCUAACUACGUGCCAGCAGCCGCGGUAAUACGUAGGGAGCAAGCGUUAUCCGGAUUUACUGGGUGUAAAGGGUGCGUAGGCGGCUUGGUAAGUCAGAUGUGAAAUGUAUGGGCUCAACCCAUGCACUGCAUUUGAAACUAUUGAGCUUGAGUGAAGUAGAGGUAGGCGGAAUUCCCUGUGUAGCGGUGAAAUGCGUAGAGAUAGGGAGGAACACCAGUGGCGAAGGCGGCCUAC
rnacentral:rRNA from 1 species